rnacentral:misc_RNA from 1 species
UUUCCGUAGGUGAACCUGCGGAAGGAUCAUUAUUGUAUAACCGAGGUGCGAGGGCUGUCGCUGUCCCGAAAGGUCGUGCACGCCCGAGUGCCCUCACACACAUCCACCUCACCCCUAUGUGCACCACCGCGUGGGUCCCCCUUUGGCUUGUUCGGAGGGGGGCUUACGUUUUCACACAAACUUUGUAUGCAGUGUAGAAUGUAUUUUUUGUUUUUGCGAUCACGCAAUCAAUACAACUUUCAACAACGGAUCUCUUGGCUCUC